rnacentral:rRNA from 1 species
UACGUAGGGUGCAAGCGUUGUCCGGAAUUAUUGGGCGUAAAGAGCUCGUAGGCGGUUUGUCGCGUCUGCUGUGAAAACCCGAGGCUCAACCUCGGGCCUGCAGUGGGUACGGGCAGACUAGAGUGCGGUAGGGGAGAUUGGAAUUCCUGGUGUAGCGAUGGAAUGCGCAGAUAUCAGGAGGAACACCAAUGGCGAAGGCAGAUCUCUGGGCCGUAACUGACGCUGAGGAGCGAAAGCAUGGGGAGCGAACAGG